rnacentral:rRNA from 1 species
UGGGGAAUCUUGGACAAUGGGGGCAACCCUGAUCCAGCCAUGCCGCGUGAGUGAUGAAGGCCUUAGGGUCGUAAAGCUCUUUCGCCUGUGAAGAUAAUGACGGUAGCAGGUAAAGAAACCCCGGCUAACUCCGUGCCAGCAGCCGCGGUAAUACGGAGGGGGUUAGCGUUGUUCGGAAUUACUGGGCGUAAAGCGCACGUAGGCGGACCAGAAAGUUGGGGGUGAAAUCCCGGGGGCUCAACCCCGGAACUGCCUCCAAAACUAUUGGUCUAGAGUUCGAGAGAGGUGAGUGGAAUUCCAAGUGUAGAGGUGAAAUUCGUAGAUAUUUGGAGGAACACCAGUGGCGAAGGCGGCUCACUGGCUCGAUACUGACGCUGAGGUGCGAAAGUGUGGGGAGCAAACAGGAUUAGAUACCCUGGUAGUCCACACCGUAAAACGAUGAAUGCCAGUUGUCGGGUAGUAUACUACUCGGUGACGCAGCUAACGCUUUAAGCAUUCCGCCUGGGGAGUACGGUCGCAAGAUUAAAACUCAAAGGAAUUGA